rnacentral:rRNA from 1 species
CACACUGCCGAGAAAAGCCUCUAGAUAGAAAAUAGGUGCCCGUACCGCAAACCGACACAGGUAGUCAAGAUGAGAAUUCUAAGGUGAGCGAGCGAACUCUCGUUAAGGAACUCGGCAAAAUGACCCCGUAACUUCGGGAGAAGGGGUGCUCUUUAGGGUUAACGCCCAGAAGAGCCGCAGUGAAUAGGCCCAAGCGACUGUUUAUCAAAAACACAGGUCUCUGCUAAACCGUAAGGUGAUGUAUAGGGGCUGACGCCUGCCCGGUGCUGGAAGGUUAAGAGGAGUGGUUAGCUUCUGCGAAGCUACGAAUCGAAGCCCCAGUAAACGGCGGCCGUAACUAUAACGGUCCUAAGGUAGCGAAAUUCCUUGUCGGGUAAGUUCCGACCCGCACGAAAGGCGUAACGAUUUGGGCACUGUCUCAACGAGAGACUCGGUGAAAUCAUAGUACCUGUGAAGAUGCAGGUUACCCGCGACAGGACGGAAAGACCCCGUGGAGCUUUACUGUAGCCUGAUAUUGAAAUUCGGCACAGCUUGUACAGGAUAGGU